rnacentral:rRNA from 1 species
AAAUUGAAGAGUUUGAUCAUGGCUCAGAUUGAACGCUGGCGGCAGGCCUAACACAUGCAAGUCGAACGGUAACAGGAAGCAGCUUGCUGCUUCGCUGACGAGUGGCGGACGGGUGAGUAAUGUCUGGGAAACUGCCUGAUGGAGGGGGAUAACUACUGGAAAUGGUGGCUAAUACCGCAUAACGUCGCAAGACCAAAGAGGGGGACCUUCGGGCCUCUUGCCAUCAGAUGUGCCCAGAUGGGAUUAGCUUGUUGGUGAGGUAACGGCUCACCAAGGCGACGAUCCCUAGCUGGUCUGAGAGGAUGACCAGCCACACUGGAACUGAGACACGGUCCAGACUCCUACGGGAGGCAGCAGUGGGGAAUAUUGCACAAUGGGCGCAAGCCUGAUGCAGCCAUGCCGCGUGUAUGAAGAAGGCCUUCGGGUUGUAAAGUACUUUCAGC